rnacentral:rRNA from 1 species
UACGGAGGGGGCUAGCGUUGUUCGGAUUCAUUGGGCGUAAAGGGUGCGUAGGUGGCGGGGUAAGUCAGGUGUGAAAUCUCGAGGCUCAACCUCGAAACUGCACUUGAUACUGCCUUGCUCGAGUACUGGAGAGGAGAUUGGAAUUUACGGUGUAGCAGUGAAAUGCGUAGAUAUCGUAAGGAAGACCAGUGGCGAAGGCGAAUCUCUGGACAGUUACUGACACUGAGGCACGAAGGCCAGGGGAGCAAACGGG